rnacentral:rRNA from 1 species
AUGUGGGAAACCACGAUGCGGGAAACCCAAGUGCCAGCACUAUGUGUUGGCUGUCCUCCAGUGUUCGUAACUGGGGAAGAAAGAGCUGGGUAAGACGGGUGCCAGCCGCCGCGGUAAUACCCGCAGCUCAAGUGGUGGUCAUUAUUAUUGGGCCUAAAGCGUCCGUAGCAGGCUUGUUAGAUGCCUGGGUAAAUCGAUGCGCUCAACGCAUCGAAUUCCGGGUAGACCGGCAAGCUCGAGACCGGGAGAGGCGUGAGCUACUCGAGGGGUAGGGGUAAAAUCCUGUAAUCCUUCGGGGAGGACCAGUGGCGAAGGCGUCACGCUAGAACGGCUCUGACUGUGAGGGACGAAGCCCUGGGGCGCAAACCGGAUUAGAUACCCGUGUAGUCC